GUGCUUCGCUGUGACAUCUUUGGAAAAUUCCUGCGUGUUGCUCGCUUUUUAUGGGCUUGUUGCCUCGAAGAUCGCCAUGAUCGCCUCCGACUCGGCGACAUUAACGAUUCAAAAUGAGCUGAGAGACACCCAAGCUGGAAUGCUAAAGGUUCACAUAGGCUGUAAGAGUGCGCAUUCAGAAGGUUAUCCUGGCCCAGCUUACUAUGGCCUGCCAUGGUGGACCAGGAAAGUUUGCAAGGGCCUUGCUUCACCAUGUGUUCACAGAGGAGGAGCUCAUGGGCCAUUUGGGCUUUGGAAAUAACACCAAGGGGCAACAGAGGCUCUUGACCCCAUCAGGGUCAGUGCUGUUAUAGGUUUCACGUGUCGCAAAUUUCCUGGUACCAUCAUGCCCUAUGUAAAGAACUCUGGCCUCGCUUCUCGCAUGGGACCCUGCCCCUGAAGCAACUGCCCCUGCCCCUUCACCUCUGAAGAGCCCAAGUUGGACAGCUCAAACCAAAACACAAGUGUUGUGCUCUUGUAACUCUCGACAUUCUUAUGUUUUAUGUUAGUCUCCUGAAGGACCCAGUUUGGAUUUCUCAAAUGAGCAUACAAAUGUUGUGCCUUUCUAUGGCUUGACAUUUUCAUGUUAAUAUUAUUUAUGUUAAUUAUGCUAGUCUCCUGAGAAGCCCACAUUGGAUUGCUCAAUCCAGAAUACAAGUGCUGUGCUUUGUUAUAGUUCACUACAUUUUUAUGUUAGUUUUUGAUAUGGUUCCAGUAAGGA